rnacentral:rRNA from 1 species
AUUGAACGCUGGCGGCAGGCUUAACACAUGCAAGUCGAGCGGGGUGAUGGUGCUUGCACUAUCACUUAGCGGCGGACGGGUGAGUAAUGCUUAGGAAUCUGCCUAUUAGCGGGGGACAACAUCUCGAAAGGGAUGCUAAUACCGCAUACGUCCUACGGGAGAAAGCAGGGGAUCACUUGUGACCUUGCGCUAAUAGAUGAGCCUAAGUCGGAUUAGCUAGUUGGUGGGGUAAAGGCAUACCAAGGCGACGAUCUGUAGCGGGUCUGAGAGGAUGAUCCGCCAGACUGGGACGGAGACACGGCCCAGACUCCUACGGGAGGGAGCAGUGGGGAAUAUUGGACAAUGGGGGGAACCCUGAUCCAGCCAUGCCGCGUGUGUGAAGAAGGCCUUAUGGUUGUAAAGCACUUUAAGCGAGGAGGAGGCUCUUUUGGUUAAUACCCAAGAUGAGUGGACGUUACUCGCAGAAUAAGCACCGGCUAACUCUGUGCCAGCAGCCGCAGUAA